CUUACUUAGCCCCCUGCCAUUUAAAAUGUUUAAGCUUCCCACAAUAGACAAACCCAGGCCAUACCUUGCUUGCUGCCAGGGUUCUGCCUGCUUUGCCUGGUCAAAGGUACGGUCAGUCCCGCAAGUUGUUCCAUUACAGAAAAAUCUCAGACCUGGCUCUGACAGUCAAAAGCCUAUGCUGCUCUGUAUGACAGCUAAAGACCUACAACCACUGCCCUCAAGAAGACUGUGGAGACCAUGGGAGCCUCAGAAUCAAUGCUUCUUGAGGCAACUCAGUCAUUAUUAUCCUGUUGUUCUCAUAAAGUACCGUGAUGAAGACACUGCCGAGAAGAAAAAUUGGAUGUUUUCAUCUCUAGAGGGAUAGAAGGCUAUGAGAGUGGAGCAGAGAUGCUGGAGCAGUAGCCAAGAGUUCACAUCCCAAACAGAGAGCAUGGGUGUGGCAUGACUCUCUAAACUCUCAAAGCCUGUCUCCAGUGUCACACUUCCUCCAACAAGGCCACAUCUACCAAGUCUCUCCAAACAGUGCCACCAACUGAGGGCUGAACCUUCUCAUUCAAACCACACAGGCCUUAUCCUGAGAGGCCUUUAAUUAACAAUGUUCCCUGACAUUCUCCACUGGCCCUGAGAACCUCACUGGGUGGAACACUUUCAACUUCCAGGGAUAAGCUCUCAUCAGUCCUUGUGGGUUAUGCUCUACAGAUGGUCUUCUUUGUAUCUACCCAGGAUACAUUCAUCCUCCAUUCUCAAGAUGAUGUCUAAACCUGCUGGCAAAAUGGAGUCUUUCAUGGCAGGAAAACCAAACAAAAAAUCCUUAAAAAAGUUUUAUACAAACUGGAGAAAUGUAGAACAGGACAUAGGCUGACUCUGACAGGAUGAAACUAUCUCAUGGGCAAAGGACACUUUGAAGCAAACAAAGAAAUAUUGCAAGAGCUUUAGACUUUGGCCUUUUCUGUGGGUCAAGGAGAUACAAACAGCUUAUCUGGAGCCUCUAGUUACUAUUCUACUAAUACAUUUAAAAAAUGCCCAAGAAGACACAGGAGCAAAUGGAGGGACUAUGACUAAAGCUAUGCUCUCUGAAUCAGCCUGUGCCCUAUUAUGAAAUGCAAAUGGAGCCCACACUUUCUUGUGUCUCCAGUGAAUUUGCAAAUGACUCACAUCAUGAGAAGCCAAGCACACACUAACACCACCUCUCUGAAAGCAUCUGUCAUAUCCAAACCAUGUUUUAUGUCUCUGUGACUUGGGCCCCUGUGAUAUAUGUGCUGUGGGAUUUUGUACACAGAAAAGCGAGUCUUGGUCCCAGAAAUACAUUUUAUGCUCAAGGAGGCCAUCAAAUGUUUGUGCCAAGUGUAUGCAUCCCUCUGUUUCAGUGAUUUCUUCAUCCAUUUGUGACUGACUGUCAGCUCUGUAAUUCACCUCAUCUUGUAUGAACAUAUUGCCACCCUAUUUUAUAUGCAUCCAUUUUGAUUGGCUGUAUCAUGCUUUAAUAAUUCUCAAACAUUUAACUGGGUAAAGCCUAUGUUUUCAUAUGGACAUUUGAGAAUAAAUUGUGGAUAAACGUUCCUGGGAACUGAGAAGAUACAAGUUAACACUCACUUCAUCUCUUAACUUUCUUGUCUGCACACAGCUGUGUCUUGUUUGAGGAUCCCAAGGUGGUGCUCAUCUGCUUCGAGCGUCCAAAGGCUUCAUUAUAUGCUCUUUCUCCUGGAUACCCCAACAAGAGCCUUAGACAAUAGAGAGCUGAGGUGAUGUUAUAUUGACGAACCAGUUAUUUGGUGGGCAUGGCUUCAAGCUCUAGACUUGAAAUCCGGUCUUAUGUGUGAAGAUAAGAGAAGCACUGGAUCUUCCUGACAUACAGAAACUCUCUGCACACAUUUCCAAGAAAUGUUGAUUUUAGAAUUUUGUUGAUCUGCUUGCAACCCAUGUGUUUACCAAGUCAGAGUCCAACCUGCCCUGAACCUAGACUGUCAUUUUGGCCCCACAUUGAACCUAACAGUGAUAUGGUGCUAGCUAGCAAGGCUGGUGACCCAAAUUCAAUAUCUGGGACCCACAAGAAGGGAGAGAACUGACUCAUUCAAAUUUUCCUCUGACCUCCACAUAUAUGACAUGCUGUGAUUCCACAAAUAAAUGUAACAAAAGAAACCCAAAGGAAAGAAAACCACCUUUGGUCAGUUGCACAUUCCACAUAAGGUGUGUUUGGCAUGACACCAUGGCUUUGAUGAACCGUAGAAUUAUCUUCCUAGUUUGUUUCUCACCAGGACUUGCUUCAAGGAUUGCUCCCUACUGGGAAGCAGAGGACAGCCCUGCCCUUUGUGGGCUGCCGACAUCUCAGGAGCCAUAUUGUUAAACACAAAUUGAGGUGGUACUGUGAAGGGAACUUGCAAAGUAAAUUUACUGAUCAUCUCCCUAAACUCUAGCCCAAAAAGAGAUGGUCUGGGUGGGCCUGACUCCAUCAGAUAAAAAGUCUGCAAAUUAAAGUUUGGAUUUCUCUGAUUCGAAAUGACAACGAAGUCUGAAGCUGCCCUAUAGCAUGCUGGGAACUUCACAUCCAUGGGUGUUAGAUGUACAGCAUCCCUGGCAUCAGGCAGGCAGAGGGUGCUAUCCUCUGAGUCUGAAAUACCCUCUGUGGGUGUUUUUUUUUUUUUCAUCAGGAUGAUGUGGGAUAAUGCUCCUGUCCACUGUAAAGAUUUGAAACUCAUAUUGGUUUAAUACAACGCUGCCUGGCCAGUACCCAGGCAGGAAGUAUAGGCUGGGCUGCCAGACUAGGAGAAUUCUGGGAAGAUGAAGGCAGAGAAUGAGUCCCCAGCCAGAUGCAGUGGAAGCAAAGUGAGAAUGCUUUACUGGGAAAGGUACCAAGAUACACAGCUAAACAUAUAUAAGAAUUAUGGGUUAAUUUAAGUUGUAAGAGCUUGUUAGUAAGAAGCCUGAGCAAUAGGCCACACAGUUUAUAAUUAAUAUAAAUUAAUCAUAUUGUAAUUUAUAAUAUAAUAAUUAUAUAAUAUAAUAUAUUAUAAUUGUGUUAUAAUAGAUGAUUAUAUAUAAUAUAAUAAUGUAGUGUGUAAUUGGUACUAAAAGGUUACAGAAACUACAGUCUACAGUAGGAGAUAUUAGCUCAGACAGCAAGGUUGAAAGUCAAGGGCUAGUGUCUUAGUCACUGUUCUAUUACUGUGAAGAGACACAAUGACCAAGGUAACUUCUAUCAGUGAAGGCAUUUCAUUAGGAGCUCGCUUACAGUUUCAGAGCCUUAGUCCCUUGUCAUUGUGCUGGGAAGCAUGGCAGCAUACAGCAGCUGAUGGAGCAGUAGGAGAUUGCUACAUCCUAAUAUAUAGGCCAAGAGAGAGAGAUGCACAGAGAGACAGAAACAUGGAGAGAGAGGGGCAUCUGGGCCUGGCAUGGGGUUUUGAAAUCUCAAACACCACCCUAGUAACAGACUUCCUCCAACAAGGCCACACCCCAAAAUUCUUUUUAUCCUUUCAAAUAGUGCCUGGUGACUAAUCAUUCAAUAUAUAUAGAGAGGCCAUUCUUAUAAAACCAACACAUCCAGCUCCAUGACCUGCAUAGACUUGUAGCCAUAUCAUAAGGCAAAAAUGUAUUCAGUGCAAUUUCCAAAGUCCCCAUAAUCGAUCACUGUCUCAACACCAUUUAGAAGUCCAAAGACUUCUGAGAUUCAAGGCAAUCUCUUGACUGUUAUCCUCAGAAAAAUCAAAACCAAAAAGCAGAUCACAUACUUCCAACACACAAUGGCACAGAAUAUGCAUUACCAUUCCAGAAGGGAGGAAAAGGAGCAUAAUGAAGAAAUACUCAAGAGAAGCAAAAACCAAAAACCAGCAGGACCAUCUCCAAGACAGGCUGUCUUGACAUCUAGGUCUGAUGUCAAAAAACUCUUCAGGAUAUCAACCACUUUCAGCUUUCUUGACUAAAACAUGCUGCUCUCUCUUGGACUGGUUCUACACCUGGUAUGCAAACUCUCCUUGCCAGGUAUUCCAUUCUCUGACAUCUUCAACAUCCUUGUUUGUAACAGCUAAGGAAAAUUCCUUUUGCACUAUGAGCAUAUUUUAAACUCCUAAAAAAGGAAAACUCCAUUUUGUACUAGGUACCCAUUCCAAAUUUCUUCUUCUUUUUUUGUUGUUGUUUUGAGACAGGGUUUCUCUGUAUUGUUUUGGAGCCUGUCCUGAAACUUGCUUGGUAGACCAGGCUGGCCUCAAAGUCAUGGAGAUCCACCAGUCUCUGCCUCCCGAGUGCUGGGAUUAAUAGUGUGGCUACUAACAUCCGGCCCCAUUCCCAAUUUCUAUAGGAUGAGUGUCCAGCAACUCUGACUCCUUGUCCCCUCCCCAACCUUGUAAAACUGCUAUUAGGUAAUUGAUUGUGCUAGUUUUUUAAAAACCACUUUUGAAUGUGUACCAUGGAGUGAGACAGCUCCUUUACCUGUGUAUACAGGUGGAUAGAGACAGCUUUUUAAAGUUAAGGGAUUAAAAGCAGUUGCUCACUCAGCUUCACAUAAUUGAGAUAGUUGUGGUGUCCAUCUAUAAAAAGCCUUCCUCUAGGCAGAUCUGCAUAACUCACCUUCUAUUUGGAUUUAGGGCUAGCAG
ensembl:lncRNA